rnacentral:rRNA from 1 species
AACAAACGCUGGCGGCGUGCCUAACACAUGCAAGUCGUGCGAGAAAGUCCCCUUCGGGGGGCGAGUAAAGCGGCGAAAGGGUGAGUACACGUGGGUAACCUACCCUCGGGAUCGGGAUAACGUGCCGAAAGGUGCGCUAAUACCGGUUAAGACCACGCGGACGAUGUCCGAGCGGUAAAAGAUGGCCUCUCGACGAAGCUAUCACCUAGGGAUGGGCCCGCGGCCUAUUAGCUAGUUGGUAGGGUAACGGCCUACCAAGGCUAUGAUGGGUAACCGGCCGGGGAGGGUGUACGGCCAGACUGGAACUGAGACACGGUCCAGACUCAUACGGGAGGUAGCAGUAGGGAAUCUUCCGCAAUGGACGAAAGUCUGACGGAGCAACGCCGCGUGAGCGAUGAAGGCCUUCGGGUCGUAAAGCUCUGUUGUUAGGGAAGAACAAGUAUCGGAGUAACUGCCGGUACCUUGACGGUACCUAACCAGAAAGCCACGGCUAACUACGUGCCAGCCGCCGCAGUAACAC